GGGUUGUGAGGUUAAGCGACUAAGCGUACACGGUGGAUGCCCUGGCAGUCAGAGGCGAUGAAGGACGUGCUAAUCUGCGAUAAGCGUCGGUAAGGUGAUAUGAACCGUUAUAACCGGCGAUUUCCGAAUGGGGAAACCCAGUGUGUUUCGACACACUAUCAUUAACUGAAUCCAUAGGUUAAUGAGGCGAACCGGGGGAACUGAAACAUCUAAGUACCCCGAGGAAAAGAAAUCAACCGAGAUUCCCCCAGUAGCGGCGAGCGAACGGGGAGGAGCCCAGAGCCUGAAUCAGUGUGUGUGUUAGUGGAAGCGUCUGGAAAGGCGCGCGAUACAGGGUGACAGCCCCGUACACAAAAAUGCACAUACUGUGAGCUCGAUGAGUAGGGCGGGACACGUGGUAUCCUGUCUGAAUAUGGGGGGACCAUCCUCCAAGGCUAAAUACUCCUGACUGACCGAUAGUGAACCAGUACCGUGAGGGAAAGGCGAAAAGAACCCCGGCGAGGGGAGUGAAAAAGAACCUGAAACCGUGUACGUACAAGCAGUGGGAGCCUCUUUUAUGGGGUGACUGCGUACCUUUUGUAUAAUGGGUCAGCGACUUAUAUUCUGUAGCAAGGUUAACCGAAUAGGGGAGCCGAAGGGAAACCGAGUCUUAACUGGGCGUUAAGUUGCAGGGUAUAGACCCGAAACCCGGUGAUCUAGCCAUGGGCAGGUUGAAGGUUGGGUAACACUAACUGGAGGACCGAACCGACUAAUGUUGAAAAAUUAGCGGAUGACUUGUGGCUGGGGGUGAAAGGCCAAUCAAACCGGGAGAUAGCUGGUUCUCCCCGAAAGCUAUUUAGGUAGCGCCUCGUGAACUCAUCUCCGGGGGUAGAGCACUGUUUCGGCAAGGGGGUCAUCCCGACUUACCAACCCGAUGCAAACUGCGAAUACCGGAGAAUGUUAUCACGGGAGACACACGGCGGGUGCUAACGUCCGUCGUGAAGAGGGAAACAACCCAGACCGCCAGCUAAGGUCCCAAAGUCAUGGUUAAGUGGGAAACGAUGUGGGAAGGCCCAGACAGCCAGGAUGUUGGCUUAGAAGCAGCCAUCAUUUAAAGAAAGCGUAAUAGCUCACUGGUCGAGUCGGCCUGCGCGGAAGAUGUAACGGGGCUAAACCAUGCACCGAAGCUGCGGCAGCGACACUAUGUGUUGUUGGGUAGGGGAGCGU
rnacentral:rRNA from 1 species